AGAUUAAGUUAUUAAGGGCGCACGGUGGAUGCCUUGGCACUAGAAGCCGAUGAAGGACGUUACUAACGACGAUAUGCUUUGGGGAGCUGUAAGUAAGCUUUGAUCCAGAGAUUUCCGAAUGGGGAAACCCAGCAUGAGUUAUGUCAUGUUAUCGAUAUGUGAAUACAUAGCAUAUCAGAAGGCACACCCGGAGAACUGAAACAUCUUAGUACCCGGAGGAAGAGAAAGAAAAUUCGAUUCCCUUAGUAGCGGCGAGCGAAACGGGAAGAGCCCAAACCAACAAGCUUGCUUGUUGGGGUUGUAGGACACUCUGUACGGAGUUACAAAGGACGACAUUAGACGAAUCAUCUGGAAAGAUGAAUCAAAGAAGGUAAUAAUCCUGUAGUCGAAAAUGUUGUCUCUCUUGAGUGGAUCCUGAGUACGACGGAGCACGUGAAAUUCCGUCGGAAUCUGGGAGGACCAUCUCCUAAGGCUAAAUACUCUCUAGUGACCGAUAGUGAACCAGUACCGUGAGGGAAAGGUGAAAAGCACCCCGGAAGGGGAGUGAAAUAGAACCUGAAACCGUGUGCUUACAAGUAGUCAGAGCCCGUUAAUGGGUGAUGGCGUGCCUUUUGUAGAAUGAACCGGCGAGUUACGAUUUGAUGCAAGGUUAAGCAGUAAAUGUGGAGCCGUAGCGAAAGCGAGUCUGAAUAGGGCGUUUAGUAUUUGGUCGUAGACCCGAAACCAGGUGAUCUACCCUUGGUCAGGUUGAAGUUCAGGUAACACUGAAUGGAGGACCGAACCGACUUACGUUGAAAAGUGAGCGGAUGAACUGAUGGUAGCGGAGAAAUUCCAAUCGAACCUGGAGAUAGCUGGUUCUCUCCGAAAUAGCUUUAGGGCUAGCCUCAAGUGAUGAUUAUUGGAGGUAGAGCACUGUUUGGACGAGGGGCCCCUCUCGGGUUACCGAAUUCAGACAAACUCCGAAUGCCAAUUAAUUUAACUUGGGAGUCAGAACAUGGGUGAUAAGGUCCGUGUUCGAAAGGGAAACAGCCCAGACCACCAGCUAAGGUCCCAAAAUAUAUGUUAAGUGGAAAAGGAUGUGGCGUUGCCCAGACAACUAGGAUGUUGGCUUAGAAGCAGCCAUCAUUUAAAGAGUGCGUAAUAGCUCACUAGUCGAGUGACACUGCGCCGAAAAUGUACCGGGGCUAAACAUAUUACCGAAGCUGUGGAUUGUCCUUUGGACAAUGGUAGGAGAGCGUUCUAAGGGCGUUGAAGCAUGAUCGUAAGGACAUGUGGAGCGCUUAGAAGUGAGAAUGCCGGUGUGAGUAGCGAAAGACGGGUGAGAAUCCCGUCCACCGAUUGACUAAGGUUUCCAGAGGAAGGCUCGUCCGCUCUGGGUUAGUCGGGUCCUAAGCUGAGGCCGACAGGCGUAGGCGAUGGAUAACAGGUUGAUAUUCCUGUACCACCUAUAAUCGUUUUAAUCGAUGGGGGGACGCAGUAGGAUAGGCGAAGCGUGCGAUUGGAUUGCACGUCUAAGCAGUAAGGCUGAGUAUUAGGCAAAUCCGGUACUCGUUAAGGCUGAGCUGUGAUGGGGAGAAGACAUUGAGUCUUCGAGUCGUUGAUUUCACACUGCCGAGAAAAGCCUCUAGAUAGAAAAUAGGUGCCCGUACCGCAAACCGACACAGGUAGUCAAGAUGAGAAUUCUAAGGUGAGCGAGCGAACUCUCGUUAAGGAACUCGGCAAAAUG
rnacentral:rRNA from 1 species